rnacentral:tRNA from 1 species
UGGGGUAUCGUCAAGUGGUAAGACUGCGGUUUUUGGUACCGCCAUUCGGAGGUUCGAAUCCUUCUGCCCCAG